GGGGACAAAGAAAUCUAACUAAAAAGGAAAAAAAUAAAACUAAAAUCUAUUUUUGAAUAAGAAAUAACAUGAAAUAAAAGGAAAGUAAAACUAUAUAGAAAUCUAAACUACCUAAGAUAGAAACAGUAACAAAAAAUAAUAUGAAAAUUUAAAUGCAACUAAGAUGAUCCUAAACUAAUGAAUCUGAAACUAAAAUAAACCUAGAUACCAACCUAUGAAACCAAUGAACAACUAAAUUUCCUAAUUAUAUGCCUACUCUAGAAAUGUAAAUGUAAAUGCAAGGAAUAAAUCAUCACAGAACAGAACCGAAUGGAAGGGAAAGUAAAAAUCACAAUCAGACCUAAGGCUAUUCAACAUUAAUUCAACAGAAAUAUUAAAAAAUAAAGCACUAAACCAAAUAUAACAGGCACAAGCAAAGAACAGAGGAAAUGCACACUAGAUUGAAUGAAAGAGUCUUAAUCACUCUUCAGAAAGACAUUCCGAGAAAGUUAAGCCCUCUAUGGGGUCUUUUUAGUUCAUAUUUCAGAACUUAAAGUGGUAAUUCUCACUCAAUUAAUCAAUCAGUGCACAGUUUCACAAGAACAGG
rnacentral:lncRNA from 1 species